rnacentral:misc_RNA from 1 species
CUUUCCUUUUGAAAUCCUCGUCUUUUUCUUCUUUUUUUUUUUGUUAUCACUACUACUACUACUACUACUACUGCUACGUGGAAAUUUGGUGUGCCGAUACAUUUUCGUGACCAAGGAAAAGGAAAACAAAAUUCUCGAGUUGUGUCGUCAAUGUCAUCGUCGUCGUGCACCACGUCGCCGUUCGUGAGCCUCGCCUUUUAACCCGAGGCUCGCGAGCAGUGAUCUAAGACACCACACGGUGUUUCAUAUCGUGAAACGUGUUUUCUUCUAUACUCUCUGGACUUUGAUAAUUAGUCAAGUGUUAUAAGAAGAAUAAUAAUAAGAAGAAGAAGAGUAGAUAAGAAGAGAGAAGAAUUGAAAAUAACGUUGAAACGGAGGAGCGUGGAAAGUUCGUGGAUCUUUAUUAUGGUCAUCUGGAUAAACGAGGAGGAGAGAAGGAGGGACAGAGGAGAGCUGGUUACAAGGAGAGCACCAAUGAAAAUGCUUCAAUCACUGAACGCCCUGGCGGGAAAAAUAUCGCCGAGUUCUCCCACCGACAGCAACGCUAAUAAGGUUCACAUGCAUAACAACAACAACGUCGUACACCAUCAUCAUCCAUAUUCGAAACAACAAACUCAACCCUCGCCUGCAUCCCACUCGAGUAACAACAAUGAUCAAAAGGAGAACACCAUAAUGAACAAUAAUAGUGUGGAGCAGCCAGAUCCAGACAAUAUAAAGAUGUUCGUUGGACAGGUACCGCACGACAUGGACGAAAACGAUCUCCGAACGUUGUUCGAAGAAUUUGGCAGAGUACAUCAGAUCAACGUUUUACGGGACAAAACUACCGGCAGUAGUAAAGGAUGUUGCUUCGUUACAUUCUACACGAGAAAAGCGGCUUUGGACGCACAGAAUGCAUUGCACAACGUAAAGACUUUCAACGGGAUGCGGCAUCCGAUCCAAAUGAAACCGGCAGAUAGCGAGAAUAGAAACGAACGCAAAUUGUUCGUUGGCAUGCUAUCGAAAAAGUACACGGAAAAUGAUGUCAGAACCAUGUUCAGCGUUUACGGAACAAUCGAGGAGUGUUCUGUGUUACGAGACAAUUCCGGACAAAGUAAAGGCUGUGCCUUCGUUACUUUCGCUAGUAAACAAUACGCUAUCAACGCCAUUAAGGCCCUUCAUCAUUCGCAAACGAUGGAGGGAUGCUCAUCACCGCUGGUUGUGAAAUUCGCUGACACGCAGAAGGAAAAGGAUCAAAAAAGAAUGCAACAAAUUCAAGCGAAUCUCUGGAAUAUCGCGGGAGUCAACAUGGCGCCGCAUUACCUGACGACGAGCGACGCUCAUACGUUAGCACCGACGUCGUUGCAAUUAUUGCAACAGUUGCAAGCGACGACGAGUGCGGCCACCCCGGUAGCUGCAGGCACCGGAGCUAACGCUCUCUCGAGUGUUCAGCAUCAGCUGUUGUUGCAGCAGCACCUUGGCCUAGGUGCAGCCACCCCCGCACACGCGGCCCCACCUGCCGUACCAAGUCCACCAGAGAUUAGCCCUGCCAAUCUCCAGGGUCUGGCAACUUUGGCGUCCCUCGGUAACUCCGCUGGUGAGUAUGCUAACGCCGGAGUCUCACCGAUGAGUAUGCAAAAUCUUGUCACUUUGGCAGCCAUGACUGGCGGAAACGGCAACCUUCAAGUGUCGCCAACGACGUUAAGCGGACUGGCGAAUUCGACAGCAGGUAUGUCGCUAUCUGCCCUUCUCGGGAAGACAGGAAGUACAGGGUCGACCGGUGGGAGUUUGAGUCCUGUGACGUCACUCGCGCUUAAUUCCUUGACAGGAGCACCUUUGAACGGUCUACAGGAUUCUUUGAGUAACGCUUAUUCGAGCUUGCAGCAAUACGCAGCUCUCAUUGGAAAGACGACGGUGACCGUGGAAAAGAAAGAAUUGCAUAGGUUCCCGGCAUUCACGGCAGCAGCGGCCGCAGCAGCAGCGGCGGCACAAAAUUCGAGUUUCAAUGCCGCGGGCAAGCAGAUCGAGGGACCCGAAGGUGGUAACCUCUUCAUCUACCACCUACCACAGGAAUUCAGCGAUACCGAUCUCGCUUCUACCUUUCUACCUUUCGGCAAUGUCAUAUCCGCCAAAGUUUUCAUCGAUAAGCAGACGAAAUUGAGCAAAUGCUUCGGUUUCGUAUCGUACGACAACUCGGCGAGUGCGCAGGCAGCGAUCCAGGCGAUGAAUGGUUUCCAGAUCGGCACGAAGCGACUAAAGGUUCAAUUAAAACGAUCCAAGGAUGCUUCUAAGCCGUACUAGUUGACAUCAUCAUCCUCGAACGUUCGUAGGCAAGACAGGGCCGCCGUUACGAUUCGAAGGAGCUAUCGGAAAACAGUAUUUCUUCCCGUUCGGAAGACGUGCAACCACACGUGGCCUGUGACGUUGUGACCGUGUACUCUCGAUCGGAGUCGCCGUGCCAUGUCAGUCUCAGUCAGUCAGUCAGUCAAUCAGUCAGUCAGUCAGUCAGUCAGUUAAUCAGUCAGUUAAUCAGUCAGUCAAUC